GCGAUUCGCCCUUCGGGGUGCAGCAGGCGCGAAAACUUUACAAUGCGGGAAACCGUGAUAAGGGGACACCGAGUGCCAGCAUCAUAUGCUGGCUGUCCAGAUGUGUAAAAUACAUCUGUUAGCAAGGGCCGGGCAAGACCGGUGCCAGCCGCCGCGGUAACACCGGCGGCCCGAGUGGUGAUCGUGAUUAUUGGGUCUAAAGGGUCCGUAGCCGGUUUGGUCAGUCCUCCGGGAAAUCUGAUAGCUCAACUAUUAGGCUUUCGGGGGAUACUGCCAGACUUGGAACCGGGAGAGGUAAGAGGUACUACAGGGGUAGGAGUGAAAUCUUGUAAUCCCUGUGGGACCACCUGUGGCGAAGGCGUCUUACCAGAACGGGUUCGACGGUGAGGGACGAAAGCUGGGGGCACGAACCGGAUUAGAUACCCGGGUAGUCCCAGCCGUAAACGAUGCUCGCUAGGUGUCAGACAUGGCGCGACCGUGUCUGGUGCCGCAGGGAAGCCGUGAAGCGAGCCACCUGGGAAGUACGGCCGCAAGGCUGGAACUUAAAGGAAUUGGCGGGGGAGCAC
rnacentral:rRNA from 1 species